UCGCCUGUUUUUUCAAAAACAUCGCUAAAAGUAGUUGAUUUUUAGUAGUACCUGCCCAGUGCGUAUUAUCUUGUUAACGGCCGCCUUAGCGUGAGGGUGCUAAGGUAGCGAAAUUCCUUGCCUUUUAAUUGUAGGCCAGCAUGAAUGGUUUGACGAGGGCCUCACUGUCUCUUAGUUCUAUGUUGAAAUUGUAGUGUAGGUGAAGAUACCUUCAUAAAAAAGUAAGACAAAAAGACCCCGUGCAACUUUGAAAAUUAAGCUAGAUUAAAUGGCAAAAGAUUUUUAGGUGGGGCGCCAAAAGAGGAAACUAUAACCUCUGCUGUUUAAGCUAAUUCUUACUGGAGUUGACCUGACUUAAGUCGAUCAAAGGAGAAGUUACGCCGGGGAUAACAGGCCAAUUCUUUAGUAAAGCUCGUAUUAACUAAAGGGCUUGGCACCUCGAUGUUGAAUCAGGGAUUAUAGCUUCAAGGCGUAGAUGCUUUGAUUAGUAGGUCUGUUCGACCUUUGAAACCCUACGUGAUCUGACGACCCGGAAGCA
rnacentral:rRNA from 1 species